UACGGAGGGUGCGAGCGUUGUCCGGAUUUAUUGGGUUUAAAGGGUGCGUAGGCGGCUUUUUAAGUCAGCGGUGAAAGUUUUCGGCUCAACCGGAAAAAUGCCGUUGAUACUGGGGAGCUUGAGUCACGGAAGGGUACAUGGAAUUGAUGGUGUAGCGGUGAAAUGCAUAGAUACCAUCAGGAACACCGAUAGCGUAGGCAUUGUGCUUGCCGUGAACUGACGCUGAGGCACGAAAGCGUGGGUAGCGAACAGGAUUAGAUACCCGUGUAGUCCCU
rnacentral:rRNA from 1 species